rnacentral:rRNA from 1 species
GACGAACGCUGGCGGCGUGCUUAACACAUGCAAGUCGAACGCUGAAGCCCUGGCUUUUGUUGGGUUGGAUGAGUGGCGAACGGGUGAGUAACACGUGAGUAACCUGCCCUCUUCUUUGGGAUAACGCCCGGAAACGGGUGCUAAUACUGGAUAUUCACUGAUCUUCGCAUGGGGGUUGGUGGAAAGGUUUGUUCUGGUGGGGGAUGGGCUCGCGGCCUAUCAGCUUGUUGGUGGGGUGAUGGCCUACCAAGGCUUUGACGGGUAGCCGGCCUGAGAGGGUGACCGGUCACAUUGGGACUGAGAUACGGCCCAGACUCCUACGGGAGGCAGCAGUGGGGAAUAUUGCACAAUGGGCGAAAGCCUGAUGCAGCGACGCCGCGUGAGGGAUGGAGGCCUUCGGGUUGGAAACCUCUUUCGCUCAUGGUCAAGCCGCAACUGUGGGUUGUGGUGAGGGUAGUGGGUAAAGAAGCGCCGGCUAACUACGUG